rnacentral:lncRNA from 1 species
UCUUCACCGCAACCCGAGCCUUCGCGCCCUCCAAGGGGUCGGCGAGCUCUCGCGGACGUUCAGGUGCUUCGAAGUUUGCAUUAGCUCGUCGUGUGGGCCCUGGAAAGGGCUGGAUGCGUGCGUGCGGCGUUCUCGCCUUGGUGUUUGCUGACAGCCCCGCCGCGGCCAGGUGGGCAAGGUUAGCCCGGUAAUAACAGCGCUCGGCCAGACAUCACACCCAGGCCCCAUAGUAAUCAUACCUUUCUCGUGAGCGCGGACUGCAAUUGGGCUUGUAAAGAGUUUAGCGCUCUGUUGUCUGAUUCAAAACUGUGAAGCAGAUGGGAGAAUUAUUCCCGUUUUACAGAUUGCAAAAGACGACUGUCGGUAACUGUCGGAGGAGAGGAAUGGCAACGUAAACUGGCAGAGUCUGCUUGGGUUUUGGGAUUUCGAAGUGUAUUCCCAGCAUUUCCCCCUUUCCUUUAGUAAGGGAGGAGAGACCUCUGAUCCUUUUGGUUUAAAUAAACACGCUUGCACUUCU